GAAAGUCACUUCGGUGGCGAGUAAAGUGGCGAAAGGGCGAGGAAUACAUUCCUAACGUGCCCCGAGGUCAGGGAUAGCUCACCGAAAGGUGUGGUAAUACCUGAUGACCCCCAUUGACCGCAUGGUUGAUGGGGCAAAGAUUUAUUGCCUCGGGAUCGGGGAAUGUCCUAUCAGCUUGUUGGUGAGGUAACGGCUCACCAAGGCGAAGACGGGUAGCGGGUGUGAGAGCACGACCCGCCGCAUCGGGACUGAGACACUGCCCGGACUCCUACGGGAGGCUGCAGUAACGAAUAUUCCACAAUGCGCGAAAGCGUGAUGGAGCAAUGCCGCGUGCAGGAUGAAGCAUCUCGGUGUGUAAACUGCUGUCAGGGAACAGAAAGAUCUGAUCGUUCCCAAAGGAAGGACCGGCUAACUUCGUGCCAGCAGCCGCGGUAAUACGAAGGGUCCGAGCGUAGCGCGGAAUCACUGGGCUUAAAGGGUACGUAGGCGGAUUGGUAAGUAUCUUGUGAAAGCCCCCGGCUCACCCGGGGAACUGCUCGGUAGAC
rnacentral:rRNA from 1 species